GAUGAACGCUAGCUACAGGCUUAACACAUGCAAGUCGAGGGGAAACGAUAUUGGAAGCUUGCUUCCGAUAGGCGUCGACCGGCGCACGGGUGAGUAACGCGUAUCCAACCUGCCCGUCACUUGGGAAUAACCUUGCGAAAGUAAGACUAAUGCCCAAUGACAUUUAUAGAAGGCAUCUGAAAUGAAUUAAAGAUUUAUCGGUGAUGGAUGGGGAUGCGUCUGAUUAGCUUGUUGGCGGGGUAACGGCCCACCAAGGCGACGAUCAGUAGGGGUUCUGAGAGGAAGGUCCCCCACAUUGGAACUGAGACACGGUCCUAAACUCCUACGGGAGGCAGCAGUGAGGAAUAUUGGUCAAUGGGCGAGAGCCUGAACCAGCCAAGUAGCGUGUGGGACGAAUGCCCUAUGGGUUGUAAACCACUUUUGCAGGAGGGUAAAAUGCUUCACGUGUGGAGUAUUGCAAGUAUCCUGCGAAUAAGGACCGGCUAAUUCCGUGCCAGCAGCCG
rnacentral:rRNA from 1 species